rnacentral:rRNA from 1 species
CCUACGGGAGGCAGCAGUGAGGAAUAUUGGUCAAUGGACGAGAGUCUGAACCAGCCAAGUAGCGUGAAGGAUGACUGCCCUAUGGGUUGUAAACUUCUUUUAUAUGGGAAUAAAAUGUUCCACGUGUGGGAUUUUGUAUGUACCAUAUGAAUAAGGAUCGGCUAACUCCGUGCCAGCAGCCGCGGUAAUACGGAGGAUCCGAGCGUUAUCCGGAUUUAUUGGGUUUAAAGGGAGCGUAGGUGGAUUGUUAAGUCAGUUGUGAAAGUUUGCGGCUCAACCGUAAAAUUGCAGUUGAAACUGGCAGUCUUGAGUACAGUAGAGGUGGGCGGAAUUCUUGGUGUAGCGGUGAAAUGCUUAGAUAUCACGAAGAACUCCGAUUGCGAAGGCAGUUCACUGGACUGCAACUGACACUGAGGCUCGAAAGUGUGGGUAUCAAACAGGAUUAGAUACCCGAGUAGUC